rnacentral:rRNA from 1 species
CACGUAGGGCGCAAGCGUUGUCCGGAAUUAUUGGGCGUAAAGAGCUCGUAGGCGGUCUGUUGCGUCCGCUGUGAAAACUCGGGGCUUAACCCCGAGCCUGCAGUGGAUACGGGCAGACUAGAGGUAGGUAGGGGAGAGUGGAAUUCCUGGUGUAGCGGUGAAAUGCGCAGAUAUCAGGAAGAACACCCGUGGCGAAGGCGGCUCUCUGGGACGGUACUGACGCUGAGACGCGAAAGCGUGGGGAGCGAACAGG